GGAGAGGCGGCGGGCGGGCCGGGGGGCUCCGCGGGGACCGCCCGGUGGCACCGCCCGCAGCGCCGCGGCUCUAUGUGAGAAUGACCAUGUUCUUGUGUCUCUUAUACUUCAUAUCUGGAUCUCAAAGUAGCUGAAGUUUGGGGGAGACCAGUGAAUAUCCUGCUACGUUAUGAGAAGCAAUUACCAACAUAAAGUGGUCUGGAGGAAGAAUAUUCUGAAGAAAAUCAAAGAGCAUAGAAUCCUUUAAUAAAGCAGAAGACAUUGAGAAUUUCAUAAGCCUUUGGCUCUCGUAGUCUUAAAAGAAAUGAACCGUUACACAAUUAUGAAACAACUAGGUGAUGGCACCUAUGGCAGUGUGUUGAUGGGGAAGAGCAACGAGUCAGGAGAACUUGUGGCUAUCAAAAGAAUGAAAAGAAAGUUCUAUUCAUGGGAUGAAUGUAUGAAUUUGAGAGAAGUCAAGUCUCUGAAGAAGCUAAACCAUGCCAAUGUAAUAAAAUUGAAAGAAGUCAUAAGAGAAAAUGACCACCUUUACUUUGUAUUUGAAUACAUGAAGGAGAAUCUCUAUCAGUUAAUGAAGGAUAGAAAUAAGUUGUUCCCUGAGUCAGUCAUCAGAAACAUGAUGUAUCAGAUAUUACAAGGGCUGGCUUUCGUCCACAAACACGGAUUUUUUCAUAGAGAUAUGAAGCCUGAAAACCUUCUCUGUAUUGGACCAGAACUUGUGAAAAUAGCAGAUUUUGGUUUGGCUAGAGAACUAAGAUCUCAGCCACCUUACACAGAUUAUGUUUCUACCAGGUGGUACCGGGCUCCUGAAGUUUUGCUGAGAUCAUCUAUCUAUAGCUCACCUAUUGAUAUGUGGGCAGUUGGCAGCAUAAUGGCUGAAUUAUACACACUAAGACCUCUUUUCCCAGGCACAAGCGAAGUAGAUGAAAUCUUCAAAAUUUGCCAAGUACUGGGGACUCCAAAGAAGAGUGACUGGCCAGAAGGAUACCACCUUGCUUCUGCCAUGAAUUUCCGUUUCCCACAGUGUGUCCCUAUAAGCCUAAAAACUCUUAUCCCAAAUGCAAGCAAUGAAGCGAUACAGCUUAUGAGCGACAUGCUAAACUGGAAUCCAAAGAAGAGACCUACAGCAAGUCAGGCUUUGAAGUAUCCUUACUUUCAAGUUGGCCAAAUUUUAGGACCUCCUCCACAGUAUCUGGAGAAGCAGACUCCUAUUAAACCAGUUCAGCCAACAGAGCCAAAGCCAACUCUUCCUAAACUGGAAGCUAUAUCCAAGCCAGAACCUCGGUCUUCACCUGAUUUACCUGUCGAAACACAGCCAGAGCCCCUGCCAAAGGUUAACCACCAGCCUCUCCAGCAAAUUCAGUUGCCUCAGAAUACAGCUAACCAGCAAGUACCAAAGCAGCAGCAGCCACAGGCACAACCCUUUUUUCCAGUUAUCAAUAAAAAUUCAUCACCUAAACAAGCAGCUAGUGGCCCUCUGAAUGUCGCACUAGGUCCUAAAAGCUGCAGAAGACGAUGGGGUCAGACUUUGGUAAAGGCUAUGGAUAGCUGGGAUGACUUGGAUGACCCUGAAUUUGGAAUGUCAUGUUCAAAGAAGCCUAGCAUUGCACCAUUAAAAGAAAAGAAAACCAAGGAAUUUAUUUUCAGUGUGCCAGAACCAAAGGCUUCAUGCUGUAUCCAGCCAGGAGGGGAAAAUAAGGUUCUGAUGAGAAAUGAUUCUGGAAGAUCAAAUACAUCAGCAAAACAGUACUAUCUAAAACAAUCAAGAUAUCUACCUGGAUGCCCAGAGGCUCAACAGUUUAAGUCCAAAAGAAAAGAAAAAGAAAAAUAUAAAGGGCAAAGAGCUUCCCUUUUUGAAGGUGUAAACCCAAAGAGUGUCUCUUUAGCAGCAGUCAAUAGAGAAGGAUCACAAGGAACCUGGAACAACCAGUUAUUUUCUAAAUCGCUGGCACAUGCUGGAGGCGGAUUGACUUUCAACAGAAAUACUACAGGGUUUUUUGAACUCACUACCCACCUCAAACAAUUCAAUGACCUUUAUGAAGAAUCAAGUAAGUGUUGUUUGAGAGGGGGUAUGGCCUUGGUCACCUUUACACUUGUGGAUAUCGUGGCAGUGAGUGCUUGCCUAUAGACCAGCUGCCAGACCUCCUGGAUGCCUGACAGAGGACUUCUUCUCUAGCAAGAACCCCUUCUUUUGGCAGUAGUCUGAGGUAAGGAACUGUGCUUUUAAAUAGGAUGUUUUUAAAUUUGUAGCUAUUCUGCUGUUUUAUACUGAACUUUUUUUUUUCCUGCUUCCCUUGUUCUCAUCCAACAAAAGAUCACCCCUCCAGACCUGUUUUCACCCAGACUGUUUAUCCUGGCUGCAAUUUUUCACUUCCUGUAGAAGAAUUCAUAAAGCACAUUGGACACAGAGAGGCAAAUUCCUGAAAAGGAAGAACAACUCAGACUCUACAAGAAAGUUCAAUUUUAUUGGAACACUUCAUUAAAGUUUUAUUUUUCACCAGCUGUAUUGAUGCGUCAUUCUUUACUGUGCAAACUGGCAUCAAGUGGACAGAGGAAUGCUACAGGGAGACCCAGCUAUUUGGAGAGCAGUGAAGUGACAGUGUGAGGAGCCUGGCAAACCUGGGUUAGCUGAAUGCUUGUUGUUAGUGCUCCUGAACAGGGAGGUUUGCAACAAGCCAGUGCAGCUGUAAUUAGCUGAGGGUACCUUUUCUGAGUUGUAGAUGACCACUUCUGCAGCUUAUAGAUCCACUGCUCUGAGCUCUGAAAUAAUCAGUGUUUGUGUGAAGAGGAACAUCAUGGGAUUGCACAAAGGCCAGUAACUUAGGAGACAAAAACUGUCAAAGCAGAUACUGCGUGUUUAGUGCAGCUACCACUGAAACGAUGAUGAAUACGCUUGCAUUUAAUAAAGGUUAAAAUAAACUACUAUGCAUGGCCUUGUACUUCACAAAUUUAAUACUACUGAGCACAGAACCAUGCCACUAGAGAAAAGCAUUUCUCUCUGGACAUUGUGCCAGCACAGUCUUAACACUCUCCCAAGUGAUGACAGACAUAAGGAAGGUAAGAAAUUUUCUUGGAGCCAGGAAUCUAACUAUUGUAACAGAUCCCUCUGCCAGUGGACACAAAUUUCAGUACUAAUUUUGUGUGUACAUGCACAAUGCUUCUCAGCUUUCAGAUGAGGAUGGUUAUGUCAACCUUUUCAUGGUAGUACUGCUUUAAAGAAAGAUCUGAACCAAAAAUAGGCGUAAUAUUAUAACCAGGGUAAAAGAAAGAGGGUAGUUGGGUCUGACCUUUAUAGUACACCUUUAGCUGGGAAAGUGGCAGUCAACUUCAAGUGGUGCACUG